UGCAGGUCCAAAAAUAAAGUAUUUCAAGUUUUUAUUAAAAUGUAAUUUUAAUAGUAUUUUUAAUAUAGAAUGGCCGCUUGUAGCCUUCAUAUUAAAAGCACUAACAUGUUGAUAUAUUGUCUUGAGUAGCGUGUUACCGGGACCAUCCAACAUAUCCAAACGUCAUUCUCAUGUUGUGUAGUUGUGUACAGGUUGCCAGGGCAACCUAUAUUCGCUUUAGUUUUUGAUGUUAGUACACCUAAAGUAAUAUAAAUGUCUUUCAAAUAUUGAGAUGUCCACCACCGACUGGGUACCUCCGCCAGACCAGCUUACUA